GCAAACAGGAUUAGAUACCCUGGUAGUCCACGCAGUAAACGAUGAAUGUUAGUCGUUGGUAUGCUAGACAUAUCAGUGAUGCAGUUAACACAUUAAACAUUCCGCCUGGGGAGUACGGUCGCAAGAUUAAAACUCAAAGGAAUAGACGGGGACCCGCACAAGUGGUGGAGCAUGUGGUUUAAUUCGAAGAUACGCGAAGAACCUUACCUAGCCUUGACAUAUUAUAGAAUUCAGUAGAGAUACAGAAGUGCCUUCGGGAGCUAUAUUACAGGUGCUGCACGGCUGUCGUCAGCUCGUGUCGUGAGAUGUUGGGUUAAGUCCCGCAACGAGCGCAACCCUCGUCACUAGUUACUAACGGUUAGGCCGAGGACUCUAGUGAGACUGCCUUCGUAAGGAGGAGGAAGGUGAGGACGACGUCAAGUCAUCAUGGCCCUUACGGCUAGGGCAACACACGUGCUACAAUGGUUAGGACAAUGAGAAGCAAUAUCGCGAGGUGGAGCAAAUCUAUAAACCUAAUCUCAGUUCGGAUUGUAGUCUGCAACUCGACUACAUGAAGCUGGAAUCACUAGUAAUCGUAGAUCAGCUAUGCUACGGUGAAUACGU
rnacentral:rRNA from 1 species